rnacentral:rRNA from 1 species
UACGUAGGUGUCAAGCGUUGUCCGGAUUUAUUGGGCGUAAAGCGCCCGCAGGCGGCUUGCCAAGUUCGAUGUGAAAUCUCCCGGCUCAACUGGGAGGGUGCAUCGAAAACUGGCAGGCUUGAGGCAGGGAGAGGGAUGUGGAAUUCCAGGUGUAGUGGUGAAAUGCGUAGAUAUCUGGAGGAACACCAGCGGCGAAGGCGGCAUUCUGGGCCGAUACUGACGCUGAGGAGCGAAAGCGUGGGGAGCGAACAGG